CAGCAGGCUCCUCCUGCUCCUGGCACUGCGGCCCUCCAGGUGGUCCCAGUGCCCCACAUCUCACCCAGCGCCCAUUUGGGCAUUUCCCCACAGAGAGAAUCUCUUCAUUGAUGCCGACGGUGCUUCCGACACCCGACGCCACUGUAUUUGGUUCCUUUGUGCCCCCUCUGUCCGCUGCUGCAAUGCAGCCGCAGGUGCUCCCCGUGCCCUGCACCCUGCCCGCCAGCUGGGAGCGGGCGGUGGGGCCCCUUGGAGAUGCCGUGGUGCUCACGGAGGACCAGGGGCACCCAGCGCCCACCGACGGGUGCCCCCAUCCCGCCACGGCUCCGCUGGGCUGCAGCACCGCAGCGCUGGACUCAGGGGGUGAGUUUGGGGGCUGCGGGGCGUGCGGCAGGCUGUCCGCACCGGGUGGCUGUGGGAAAGCUGGCAUUGCCCCACUGGGGAUGUCCUUGCUUUUCCAGCAGCCACAGCGAGCGCAGACAUCCCAGAGGACGUGGUUGACAGCGACAUGGGCGAUCUGCUCACGUGGAUCAGUGGUGAGUUUUUGGUCUGCAGGGGUGGUGGGUUGGGUGUCCGGAGUAGUGGGUGUGGGAAAGCUGGCAUUGCCCCCGUGGGGAUUUUCUUGCCUUCUCCAGACAUGACCUCCAGCGCAGACAUCCCGGUUGACAGCGCGGAGAUCGAUGAUAUCCUGACGUGGAUCAGCAACGGUGAGUUGAGGGGCUGCAGAGCAGGCGGGGAUGUCUGCUCUGAGUGGCUGUGGGAAAGCUGGCAUUGCCCCCUUGGGGAUUUCCUUCCUCUUCCCAGAUGGGACACCCAGCUCAGGCAAUCCUGAUGACAGCAUGGAACUCGACGGUUUGCUCAGCUGGAUCGUUGAAGCGUCGAGUCCUCGGGAGGUCCCCCAGCAGGCGUUCCCAGCCGUCCCCAGCAGGCUCAGCACCUCUCCUUUCAUCAGAGCCCUCCGUGACCGUCCCAGCGGCAGCAGGGAGCUCAGCGGAGAGGCGCAGGCUGACGCCGGGCCCCUCAGCGAGCCGUUCUCGGGGCAGCCAGCAUCCUCUGGGCAGCUCUCUGAGCCGCUGCCCUGCGGGCAUCUGAUGGAAGAGGCGCGGCAGAGGCAGC
ensembl:lncRNA